rnacentral:piRNA from 1 species
ACUUGGAGAGGCUGGAGCAUCUGAUCCUCU